rnacentral:rRNA from 1 species
GCAUAUCAAUAAGCGGAGGAAAAGAAACUAACAAGGAUUCCCCUAGUAACUGCGAGUGAAGCGGGAAAAGCUCAAAUUUAAAAUCUGGCGGUCUUCUGGCCGUCCGAGUUGUAGUCUGGAGAAGCGUUUUCCGCGUUGGACCGUGUACAAGUUUCCUGGAACGGAGCGUCAUAGAGGGUGAGAAUCCCGUCUUUGACACGGAUCCCAAUGCUUUGUGAUGCGCUCUCAAAGAGUCGAGUUGUUUGGGAAUGCAGCUCAAAAUGGGUGGUGAAUUCCAUCUAAAGCUAAAUAUUGGCGAGAGACCGAUAGCGAACAAGUACCGUGAGGGAAAGAUGAAAAGCACUUUGGAAAGAGAGUUAAACAGUACGUGAAAUUGUUGAAAGGGAAACGCUUGAAGUCAGUCGCGUCGGCCGGGACUCAGCCUUGCAUCCGCUUGGUGUACUUUCCGGUCGACGGGCCAGCAUCAGUUUUGACCGCGAGAUAAAGGCGGAGGGAAUGUGGCUCUCUCGGGAGUGUUAUAGCCCUUUGUCAGAUGUCGCGGUUGGGACUGAGGAACUCAGCACGCCUUUAUGGCCGGGGCUCGCCCACGUACGUGCUUAGGAUGCUGGCGUAAUGGCUUUAAACGACCCGUCUUGAAACACGGACC